rnacentral:lncRNA from 1 species
GUGGAGUUUUUCUGCUUACACCGUGUAUUCGGCCACCUUAGGAUCAUUUAAUAUUAGGUUCAUUCAUAAUUGAGAUCCAAUUAACAUUCUAGAUCCAAGAAGAGUUUGUUGCAUUUGUGUAUCUUUGGAGCUUGAAUCAGAUAAAUGGAGGGCAAAAAUAUGAACUUGGGGGCUUGGUGUGAAGCUGGUAGGAACUUGGAGAGCACCAAGGAGGAAUCAAGAGAAGCCAAAAUAUGUAUAGAGAAAAAGAGACUGGCAUUUAGGUCGAUGGGAAAAUAUCGAUAAAGAACUCACAAAGAAAUAGAAGAAUCACUCGGGCAUGCAUGCAACAUAUAUUUUACAUGAUAAGAUUUUUUGGUGAAAUAAUAUCAACAUUAAUAAUCUUUUGGUCAAAG